rnacentral:lncRNA from 1 species
UUAUGGUUCCUAAUUAUAGCAAAAUAAUCACUUAAUAAAAACAUUAAUACUAUUGAAUAAAGCCCAUAAUUUUCCUUUUUAUUAUCCAUAGAAUAUUUCCUUCUUGGGAUAUAUAGCAAAAAUGCUGUGUUUUAAAGCCACUUCAAGUAACUGUUUUCUUUAUGUGGUUAAGCCACACUUCAUAUGCAGUCAGUCUAAUUCAUUUUGGUUUACUUUCAAAUUUUAAGAGAAAUUUUCUUUUGUGACUAC